AGAAAAAAAUAAUAAUUAGUGCAUUCAUUAUGACCACUUUUUGUUGUGUUUCCCAAGUAAGACUUUACGAGACAGCUCUGACUUUUACACCUGAUAUUUCAUUACAGACUACAUUCACAAAGGAAAUUCAUACGCAUGCCAUCCACACGGCAAUGUAGCAUGCAUGACAAAUGUCACUGUGUCAGACCUUGGGUGCCCUUUACUCACUACACAAGUAUGAGCCUGCACAACAUCCAACCACUGUAAGGAGGCUGAUGUCUGGUAAACACUGCCUUCAACUACAGGUGGCUGGGACCUUUACCUACAGGUGGCACGCUGGUGGCUGGGACACAAGAUGAGUCCUCGAGCACUUAACUGCGUGUAUUGAUGGAAAAUGCCUCGCACUCCUCAGGCACAACCUCCUGGACGUGUGCCCUAGCAGCUGCCAACAACCCUGCCACUUCCUCACUUGAAGGGCUUGGAGAAUAAAUACACCAGGAAGGUGUGCUGAUGAACACGCUCUGCCCAGGAUAGACGUGGGCCAGCACCAGGCGCUGCUCACGGUUUCAGCCCGCCGGGCCCCGCCGCUGUCGUUACCCCAAAAUCCCACUUUUUCCUCGUAGAUAUCCCCACAGAGCCCGCCCAGCCGCACCUCAGGGCGGUCACCGCACCCUCAGGCCCGACAGAACGAGGUUAGCCCCCGCCGCGGGCAGCCUGCACACCGCCCAGGCGCUGGUUUUGCCUUCGGACAGGACACACACCCCCAAGACCCGGCGCCCAGCUCCUCAACUCGCCCAAAUCCCUCCCGGCCCGCGACGUGCGCCCACCGCCGCCGCCUGCCUCACCUCACCUGCGCGCCCGCCGACCGGCCUCCGCCACACCACGCAUGCGCUCCACCGCCCCCCNNNNNNNNNNNNNNNNNNNNNNNNNCCGCCCUGGAGCCGCCCCUGUGCGGCGCGGCGAAAUGGCGGCGGCGCGGCGACAAGAUGGCGGCGGGAGGGCGGUGGGCGGAGCUGCGUAAUGCGCGCCCCACAGCCGCGGAGAGGGCCGCAAGCUCACGGCUGUGUAAAACUGGGAUCCUUGUAUCAGUGAGAGCUUGGUUUGAACAAGCUGUGAUGCCCUGUCAUCUACAGAUGUCCAGUCAUCUGUUGCAUUUGGCAGGGAAAAUACAGUGUUUGCAAACAUUACAAGGCACCCUAGGAGAAGAGCACUGGCCCUGA
rnacentral:lncRNA from 1 species